CUACGGGCGGCUGCAGUGAGGAAUAUUGCACAAUGGGGGGAACCCUGAUGCAGCAACGCCGCGUGGAGGAUGACGCAUUUCGGUGUGUAAACUCCUUUUAUAUGUCAAGAAAAUGACGGUAGCAUAUGAAUAAGCACCGGCUAACUCCGUGCCAGCAGCCGCGGUAAUACGGAGGGUGCAAGCGUUACUCGGAAUCACUGGGCGUAAAGGACGCGUAGGCGGGUUGGAAAGUCAGGUGUGAAAUCCUACAGCUUAACUGUAGAACUGCACUUGAAACUUCUAAUCUAGAGUAUGGGAGGGGGAGAUGGAAUUAGUGGUGUAGGGGUAAAAUCCGUAGAUAUCACUAGCAAUACCUAAAGCGAAGGCGAUCUCCUGGAACAUUACUGACGCUAAGGCGUGAAAGCGUGGGGAGCAAACAGGAUUAGACCCUAGUAGUC
rnacentral:rRNA from 1 species